AUACUCUGGCUUCUCUUCAGAUCGAAUAAAUCUUUCACCUUUUACUAAAGAUUUCUGUGGGGAGAGAAAAAAAGCAUAACUGAGAGUAGUGAGGAAACACUGCUCACU
ensembl:snRNA U5 U5 spliceosomal RNA